rnacentral:lncRNA from 1 species
UGAGAUUAAAAGACCAGAGAAUACAAAUUGUAAAUGUGAUGACUUAAGAGCUCAUAAAUUCAGUAUACAGCCCCAUUCCAGAGAGCUUGAAUGCAGUGCAGCCACACUGCCUUGGGCUCAUGAGUUGCCCUUGCUCCCAUUGCUCAAACCCACACCCUGCAGGGAGCCCUUCUGCCCUGCCUGGCUCCCAAAACAUUGCAUGUGCAUGUGUGUGCACAGAUGCUUGGAAACAAACACACACUGGCCAGGGAUGCCGUCCUGUUGUGCACUGGGAGUUUGCUGCUUAUGUACAGACAUGGACACCCUGCCUCUGCUUCAGCCCAGAAACCAGCACUAGUGCUGGAGCAGUGAGUGGAGGUCCUUGAAGAUGAGCUCCUGGGAGGAGAGACAGUCCCCUCCCCUCACUGAGGAGCCAUUUGCUUGCAUUUACCUGCUAUCCAAGUGUCCUUGCAGAGGAGCUCCAUGGUCUUACCCAUGUCCUUGUGUGUGGGCAGCAGGUGUUGCAUGGACAACUUGGUCCCACACAUGGAAUCAGUCAAAGCAGCAUCACUUCUGAGCUGUGGUGCAGAAUGCCAGAGUGGGAAUGAUAGAACUUUUGACCAAUGCACAAGUCCCUCCCCCAGUUUUCCACUUAUCCCUCUUGUGUCCCCUGCCCUGGAGCAGAGUGACCCCUGUGAGCAGAGGGCUUGAGGAGAGCUUCUUGGAGCAGUGCUUAAUGUGUUGAGCCAGUUCUGAGGAAGAUGGAGAGCUGGAAACCAGCCUGCUUCUAGGAUUCAUCCAGCCCAUGCCAAGGACAUAGCUUUUGGUCUGGUAGCCCUAAUGUGGGGAUAUAACACCCAGUGCCAACCUGCUGUCUUGCUGAGGGCAGAGCUUAUGACAUAGUCUGAGCAAGGAGAGCUGGGGACAAAUCCUGGGAGAACACCAGAAGAACAGUGGGAUGCUUUUCUUCCUGGUCAAGUGGACCAAGCCCUCAGCACACAGUAAGCAUGAAGGGGAUGGGCUUGGCAGUUGGUUCCUUGUCCUUUCACAAGUGUCCAGGGGUCAGUUCCUGGGGAAGGUUGUGCUUUGGCUGUCUCAAGAUUUAUGGCCAGGAUACGCCGCUGCAGCAGAAGCCGUACAGGCACCGUGUGGAGACUGUCUGACUGUCGUCUCAGAAAGGUUUGCUUGUGGGUUUUUUAAGCAAGUCUGCAUGGAAAUGUGUCACCAAUAAUAAGGUGUUUCCAAAAGGUCUAGGUAGAGGAUGAUGAAGAUGUCACACAAUAAUGAAUAAUUAGGUAAAACCAUUUGUGGUGUGAUUUCUUUCUAAAUGGUUUUAUUUCCUUUCUUACAAAAAGCCAACCAGUAUCCUGGGCUAUUCAAAAUGUGAUGUCAGGACUACUUUUCCUUGAGUCUUUCUCCAGAUUUCAGCACUUCUUCACCAAGGAACGUGAAUGUGAAUUCUAAGUCCAGGGUACUUUUUUCAAAUGGCCCCUCUGUUCUUGGGCAGGGAAGGGGCAAGGGGAGAAAAAAAAAUUGAAAAAUUAUUUAAAAGAGCUUUAGGUCUUUACAUUUCUGUCCAUUGCUAAGAUAAGACAGUGAUGAGCAAAUGAACAUGAAAUGAGACCUGGAUCCUCCUAUGAGGGUUUGCAUCAUACAGUACCCACUUCUUUGUGCCCAG